AUGGAUGCUUAUGAAAUUGAAUCUUUGUUUAAAACGUGUGAAAAUCUUGAUGAUGUUGUUUACAGACCUGAAAAUAUUGCUAUACUUAAAUAUUGCUAUGAGAAUUAUGAAUUCAAUUCCGAUAUUGAUGCAUUUAUUGAGGAAGUCUCCGCUGUCCAAGAAGAGACUAAUAUUUUGCAGGAAUCUAUGGAAGAAGAAAUUACUAAAAUUGUGAGCCCAUUAGAUGAAAAAGAUGAGGAGGAGAGCGAAGAACAAAAGGAGGAAGAGCGGAUUGAUCACCCAUGCCCACCUUCUAAUGAGAGUAUCUCUUCAACUCAUACAUUUUUUAAAUUCCCUUCGUGCUUACCGAAGGAUGAUUGCUAUGAUGAUUGUUAUGAUCCCGUUGAUUCUCUUGAAAUACCCCUUUUUGAUGAUGCUUGUUAUGCUUGUGGACAAGAUGCCAAUAUGAAUGAUGCUUAUGGAGAUGAACUUGCUAUAGUUCCUGAUGUUAAACAUGAAAUUGUUGUUAUUGCACCCACGCAUGAUAAUCCUAUUAUCUUUUUGAAUUCUCCCGACUACACUAUAUCAGAGAAGUUUGUGCUUAUUAAGGAUUAUAUUGAUGGGUUGCCUUUUACCAUUGCACAUGAUAAUUAUGAUGAAUGUGAUAUGCAUGUGCUUGCUGCUCUUACUUGCAAUUAUUAUGAGAGAGUAACUAUAUCUCCACCUCUCUAUGUUUCCAAUAUGAUAAAAUUGCAAGAAACUGCUUAUACUAUGCAUUGGCCUUUAUUAUGUGUGCAUGAAUUGUUCUUCUAUGACAUGCCGAUGCAUAGGAAGAGAGUUAGACUUCGUUGUUGCUUGAUAUAUGUUACUUUGUGCUCACUACUAAAUUACAAAUCAUUGUUAAUUUAA
rnacentral:rRNA from 1 species